CCUACGGGAGGCAGCAGUAGGGAAUAUUGCUCAAUGGGGGAAACCCUGAAGCAGCAACGCCGCGUGAGGGAAGAAGGAUUUAGGAAUGUAAAGCUCUAUCAGCAGAGAAGAAAAUGACGGUACCUGACGAAGAAGCACCGGCUAACUACGUGCCAGCAGCCGCGGUAAUACGGAGGGGGCAAGCGUUAUUCGGAAUGACUGGGUGUAAAGGGAGCGUAGGCGGGUAUGUAAGUCAGGUGUGAAAUCCUGUGGCCUAACCCCGGGACUGCUUUUGAAACUGUGUACCUGGAGUGCAGGAGAGGUAGGCGGAAUUCUUGGUGUAGGGGUGAAAUGCGUAGAUAUCAGGAGGAACAC
rnacentral:rRNA from 1 species